UGGAGAUUGCAUCCCACGCAGGCAGCCCCCUUCCGUACAAGAGAGGCUGGCGGUUACCUUUCUUGGGGAGACGCGUCCGACUGCUUCAUUGUGGGGGCCUCAGGAGCGGAGGAUCGGGUCCCGCCCGAGGUGACGCGUAAACCCAGACUCUCAGCAACGCGGGUAGGAAGGACCCUUGAAGUUCCGCGGCGACCACGGAACUGUGCCUUCGAUCUCCACAGUCGGCUGAAACCAGCAGCCCAGGACAAGUGGACCAGCCAGCAAGACCCAGACCAUCCAAACCGGCUGAUCCUACGACAGGACCCAGAUGCCAGUGAAAGUGACCACAGCCCUGCUCUAGUCACCCCGGAAGCUGACCAGUCUACGCACGGCCGAAGCUUCGUCAAGGAAGUAAAUGUAGUUAGAAAUCUUAAGCCCAGUAAUUUUCCUUGUCAUCUUAAUUGUUUUACUAUUAACCUGUCGCUUUGCUCAACCCCCUCCUCUGGGCAAACAUCUCUUGUCCAUCCUAGGUACAAACAUGCUACUCUUCCCUUUGUUCUUGCUGCUCUCGCUAGAUCUAUGUCAGAAGGAGGGAUAUGCGGAGAGUUUAAUUUAACUAAUUGUUGCCUAAAAAUCGA
rnacentral:lncRNA from 1 species